rnacentral:rRNA from 1 species
CCUACGGGAGGCAGCAGUAGGGAAUCUUCCACAAUGGGCGAAAGUCUGAUGGAGCAACGCCGCGUGGGUGAAGAAGGUCUUCUGAUCGUAAAACCCUGUUGUUAGAGAAGAAAGUGCGUGUGCGUAACUGUUCCCGUUUCGACGGUAUCUAACCAGAAAGCCACGGCUAACUACGUGCCAGCAGCCGCGGUAAUACGGAGGUGGCAAGCGUUAUCCGGAUUUAUUGGGCGUAAGGGGAACGCAGGCGGUCGUUUAAGUGUGAUGUGAAAGCCCUCGGCUUAACCGGGGAAGUGCAUUGGAAACUGGGAGACUUGAGUGCAGAAGAGGAGGGUGGAACGCAAGGUGUAGCGGUGAAAUGCGUAGAUAU